GCACUGGUGGUUCCGCGGUAGAACUCUUCCCUCCUAUGCAGGAGACCCGGGUUCAAUUCCUGGCCCGUACA
rnacentral:tRNA from 1 species